GCCGCAAACUGACGUCAGAUGUCUCUGUUUUAUGUGAAGGGAAUCUGUUGGGAGAAACAGCGCCGUCGCAAACUGAGGUGGUGGUCCAGUUCGGUCUCUGCGGAGACGAGCAGUAGAAAUCAAUGGACUUCGUCCGAUGACUGCAAACACACAGUGCCUUCGUAAAUGGCUGUGGACUGUGGAUGCUGCAGGGUACAUGCAGUCCACGAUCUCUUGGAUCUGCGACAGCUCCAGGUUCUUCAUGAAGUCAUUAUCCAAGAUGGCUUCCUUGAUCAGAUCCUUGGACCUGGAGAGGAGGUGAAACCAAA